rnacentral:rRNA from 1 species
GAUGAACGCUGGCGGCGCGCCUAAUACAUGCAAGUCGAGCGAACGGACGAGAAGCUUGCUUCUCUGAUGUUAGCGGCGGACGGGUGAGUAACACGUGGAUAACCUACCUAUAAGACUGGGAUAACUUCGGGAAACCGGAGCUAAUACCGGAUAAUAUUUUGAACCGCAUGGUUCAAAAGUGAAAGACGGUCUUGCUGUCACUUAUAGAUGGAUCCGCGCUGCAUUAGCUAGUUGGUAAGGUAACGGCUUACCAAGGCAACGAUGCAUAGCCGACCUGAGAGGGUGAUCGGCCACACUGGAACUGAGACACGGUCCAGACUCCUACGGGAGGCAGCAGUAGGGAAUCUUCCGCAAUGGGCGAAAGCCUGACGGAGCAACGCCGCGUGAGUGAUGAAGGUCUUCGGAUCGUAAAACUCCGUUAUUAGGGAAGAACAUAUGUGUAAGUAACUGUGCACAUCUUGACGGCACCUAAUCAGAAAGCCACGGCUAACUACGUG